UUUUUCUAUCUAAAAAAAUAAUAUAUAUUCAAAAUUGUAAAGCAAUGAACUAUAAUUAUCCUUUAUUAAUAUAAGUCAUUUUGAGCAAAUAGUAUACAGAUAAAUGAUAAAGAUUUCUUCUAUAACCGUAAGAGUUUUAUCCGAAACGUUAUAAAUAAAUUUUAGAACUAUGCAUAUUGAAAAAAUAUAAGUUAUUUUGCAUUGUUUGAAUAAUAUAAGUUCGUCUUUCAUCACUUAAAAGUAAAAAAAAAAAUAAAAAAAAAAUUUCACGCACAUUUGGGGUCCACUAGAAAGGCAGUGGAGAAGGAAGUCUGCUAACGUCUUUGGUCGAGAAUGGAUCAUGAUAUAACAAAUUCUGCAAAGUGGGCUUUAGCCUUGGUUUAUCCGGUGGACAAGCCAUUCUUGCUACUAGCUUAUGCUGAAGCGGUGCGGUGCGGGACAUUCUCAAUCUCAUUGCAGCAGCAACAACGACGGGUUUGAAAUAGUUCUCAACUACUUGGUACCAUAGAACAUGAGGUGGGAAGAAAUGAUUGGCUGGUACUCACAUGGAAGAGCACAUGGGGAAGAGAGUGCCAAAGAUACGGUUUAUAGAUUUUGAUGCCCCAAAAGAAAAAGAAAAAUAAUACAAGCUGAAAAGAAAAGAGAGACUUUGUCUCGCAAGACAUGCUUUCCUCUUGUUUCACUCCCAACCAAACAUUGCUUCCAGCUUGGCCCUUCCUUUUCGAUCACCAUAUCUAAUAAUACGGUGUUGUAUUAGCAACUAAGCAAUCAAACCAAAUCUUCAAGUUCCUAACACAGUGUGACCAGGGUUUUAUGUGUUUACGCUUCAUUUUUA